AACAGCUCACUGGUCGAGGGUUUGAGCACGGAAAAUAAUCGGGCAUCAAACAUACAACCGAAGCUUUAGGAUUGCUGGCGAUGUCAGUAAUCGGUAGGGGAGCAUUCUAAACUGCAUUGAAGGUGUAUCGCGAGAUAUGCUGGAGCGUUUAGAAAAGAAAAUGUAGGCAUAAGUAACGAUAAAAUAGGUGAAAAACCUAUUCGCCGUAAGACUAAGGGUUCCUGAUCAACGCUAAUCGGAUCAGGGUUAGUCGGGUCCUUAGGCAAAGCCGAGAGGCGCAGCUGAUGGCAAACUGGUGAAUAUUCCAGUACCUGCUAAAAUUUCGAUGGGGUAACGGAGUAGUGAACAGACCGCGCACUUACGGAAUAGUGCGUUAAAGGGUGUAGUUAUAUUGACUGUAGGCAAAUCCGCAGUUGAUGAUGAACCUGAUAGUACAGUAAAGCUUCGGCCGCACUGAUAGUGUCUCUAAACAGACUUCCAAGAAAAACCUCUAAGGUUAGGUUUUAGCAGCCCGUACCGCAAACCGACACAGGUAGUCGAGGAGAGUAUCCUCAGGCGCUCGAGUGAUCCGUGGUAAAGGAACUAGGCAAAUUGACG
rnacentral:rRNA from 1 species